rfam:Talaromyces stipitatus ATCC 10500 scf_1105507295523 genomic scaffold, whole genome shotgun sequence.
UCGCCUGAUGAACAACAAAUAUUUCGCUGUGUUCUUACCGAGUCUCGGCAUUGAAGAAAAACUAUUUCACCUUGGAGAACUGAUCC